rnacentral:rRNA from 1 species
UACGAAGGGGGCUAGCGUUGCUCGGAAUUACUGGGCGUAAAGCGCACGUAGGCGGCUUCUUAAGUCGGUGGUGAAAUCCUGGAGCUCAACUCCAGAACUGCCUUCGAUACUGGGAAGCUCGAGUCCGGGAGAGGUGAGUGGAACUGCGAGUGUAGAGGUGAAAUUCGUAGAUAUUCGCAAGAACACCAGUGGCGAAGGCGGCUCACUGGCCGGGUACUGACGCUGAGGUGCGAAAGCGUGGGGAGCAAACAGG